rnacentral:rRNA from 1 species
GCAUAUCAAUAAGCGGAGGAAAAGAAACCAACAGGGAUUGCCCUAGUAACGGCGAGUGAAGCGGCAACAGCUCAAAUUUGAAAUCUGGCUCUCGGGCCCGAGUUGUAAUUUGUAGAGGAUGCUUUUGAUGCGGUGCCUUCCGAGUUCCCUGGAACGGGACGCCAUAGAGGGUGAGAGCCCCGUCUGGUUGGAUGCCAAAUCUCUGUAAAGCUCCUUCGACGAGUCGAGUAGUUUGGGAAUGCUGCUCUAAAUGGGAGGUAUAUGUCUUCUAAAGCUAAAUACCGGCCAGAGACCGAUAGCGCACAAGUAGAGUGAUCGAAAGAUGAAAAGCACUUUGAAAAGAGAGUUAAAAAGUACGUGAAAUUGUUGAAAGGGAAGCGUUUAUGACCAGACUUGGGCUUGGAUAAUCAUCUGGGGUUCUCUCCAGUGCACUUUUCCAGUCCAGGCCAGCAUCAGUUUUCGCCGGGGGAUAAAGGCUUCGGGAAUGUGGCUCUCUCCGGGGAGUGUUAUAGCCCGUUGCGUAAUACCCUGGCGGGGACUGAGGUUCGCGCAUCUGCAAGGAUGCUGGCGUAAUGGUCAUCAACGACCCGUCUUGAAACACGGACCAAGGAGUCGUCUUCGUAUGCGAGUGUUCGGGUGUCAAACCCCUACGCGUAAUGAAAGUGAACGCAGGUGAGAGCUUCGGCGCAUCAUCGACCGAUCCUGAUGUUCUCGGAUGGAUUUGAGUAAGAGCAUACGGGGCCGGACCCGAAAGAAGGUGAACUAUGCCUGUGUAGGGUGAAGCCAGAGGAAACUCUGGUGGAGGCUCGCAGCGGUUCUGACGUGCAAAUCGAUCGUCAAACAUGGGCAUGGGGGGCGAAAGACUAAUCGAACCUUCUAGUAGCUGGUUUCCGCCGAAG